GCGGCGUGCUUAACACAUGCAAGUCGAACGAUGAAGCCCUUCGGGGUGGAUUAGUGGCGAACGGGUGAGUAACACGUGGGCAAUCUGCCCUUCACUCUGGGACAAGCCCUGGAAACGGGGUCUAAUACCGGAUAACACUCUGUCCCGCAUGGGACGGGGUUAAAAGCUCCGGCGGUGAAGGAUGAGCCCGCGGCCUAUCAGCUUGUUGGUGGGGUAAUGGCCUACCAAGGCGACGACGGGUAGCCGGCCUGAGAGGGCGACCGGCCACACUGGGACUGAGACACGGCCCAGACUCCUACGGGAGGCAGCAGUGGGGAAUAUUGCACAAUGGGCGAAAGCCUGAUGCAGCGACGCCGCGUGAGGGAUGACGGCCUUCGGGUUGUAAACCUCUUUCAGCAGGGAAGAAGCGAAAGUGACGGUACCUGCAGAAGAAGCGCCGGCUAACUACGUGCCAGCAGCCGCGGUAAUACGUAGGGCGCAAGCGUUGUCCGGAAUUAUUGGGCGUAAAGAGCUCGUAGGCGGCUUGUCACGUCGGAUGUGAAAGCCCGGGGCUUAACCCCGGGUCUGCAUUCGAUACGGGCUAGCUAGAGUGUGGUAGGGGAGAUCGGAAUUCCUGGUGUAGCGGUGAAAUGCGCAGAUAUCAGGAGGAACACCGGUGGCGAAGGCGGAUCUCUGGGCCAUUACUGACGCUGAGGAGCGAAAGCGUGGGGAGCGAACAGGAUUAGAUACCCUGGUAGUCCACGCCGUAAACGUUGGGAACUAGGUGUUGGCGACAUUCCACGUCGUCGGUGCCGCAGCUAACGCAUUAAGUUCCCCGCCUGGGGAGUACGGCCGCAAGGCUAAAACU
rnacentral:rRNA from 1 species